UAGGGAAUCUUCCGCAAUGGGCGAAAGCCUGACGGAGCAACGCCGCGUGAGUGAUGAAGGUCUUCGGAUCGUAAAACUCUGUUAUUAGGGAAGAACAAAUGUGUAAGUAACUAUGCACGUCUUGACGGUACCUAAUCAGAAAGCCACGGCUAACUACGUGCCAGCAGCCGCGGUAAUACGUAGGUGGCAAGCGUUAUCCGAAAUUAUUGGGCGUAAAGCGCGCGUAGGCGGUUUUUUAAGUCUGAUGUGAAAGCCCACGGCUCAACCGUGGAGGGUCAUUGGAAACUGGAAAACUUGAGUGCAGAAGAGGAAAGUGGAAUUCCAUGUGUAGCGGUGAAAUGCGCAGAGAUAUGGAGGAACACCAGUGGCGAAGGCGACUUUCUGGUCUGUAACUGACGCUGAUGUGCGAAAGCGUGGGGAUCAAACAGG
rnacentral:rRNA from 1 species